AGACAGCAGUCGCCGCGGGAAUACAGAGGGUGCGAGCGUUAAUCGGAUUUACUGGGCGUAAAGCGUGCGUAGGCGGCUUCUUAAGUCGGAUGUGAAAUCCCUGAGCUUAACUUAGGAAUUGCAUUCGAUACUGGGAAGCUAGAGUAUGGGAGAGGAUGGUAGAAUUCCAGGUGUAGCGGUGAAAUGCGUAGAGAUCUGGAGGAAUACCGAUGGCGAAGGCAGCCAUCUGGCCUAAUACUGACGCUGAGGUACGAAAGCAUGGGGAGCAAACAGGAUUAGAUACCCCGGUAGUCCCUGUCUCUUAUAC
rnacentral:rRNA from 1 species